GGAGGCGUACCCAAGCGGCGAAGGGAGCGGUCUUGAACACCGCCAGGCGGCCGGGAGGCUGCGCGUGGGUUCGAGUCCCACCGCCUCCA
rnacentral:tRNA from 1 species